GACAGGGGGUGCAAACGUUGUUCGGAAUCACUGGGCAUAAAGCGCACGUAGGCGGCCAACUAAGUCAGACGUGAAAUCCCUCGGCUUAACCGGGGAACUGCAUCUGAUACUGGAUGGCUUGAGAUUGGGAGAGGGAUGCGGAAUUCCAGGUGUAGCGGUGAAAUGCGUAGAUAUCUGGAGGAACACCGGUGGCGAAGGCGGCAUCCUGGACCAACACUGACGCUGAGGAGCGAAAGCCAGGGGAGCGAACGGG
rnacentral:rRNA from 1 species